GAUGAAGAACGUAGCGAAAUGCGAUAAGUAGUGUGAAUUGCAGAAUUCAGUGAAUCAUCGAAUCUUUGAACGCACAUUGCGCCCCUUGGUAUUCCAUGGGGCAUGCCUGUUCGAGCGUCAUUUGUACCUUCAAGCUUUGCUUGGUGAUGGGUGUUUGUCUCGCCUCUGCGUGUAGACUCGCCUUAAAACAAUUGGCAGCCGGCGUAUUGAUUUCGGAGCGCAGUACAUCUCGCGCUUUGCACUCAUAACGACGACGUCCAAAAGUACAUUUUUACACUCUUGACCUCGGAUCAGGUAGGGAUACCCGCUGAACUUAAGCAUAUCAAUAAGCGGAGGA
rnacentral:misc_RNA from 1 species